GGCGAUACCUGAGUAGUGACACAAUCAAUAAAUCGAUGUUUUUGUUUUUUUUCUCCGCUUUAGACAAAUUGUUCCAGAGCCUAUUUCACUUACCAAUACCAGUCAGAUAAGGGUGGAUGGCUCUCCACACUCCCACGCUACCUUUCCUGAGACGUUGGCCAAUGGCAAACUCCAGCAACAGGAGAGGCAUUCCUUCCAGCACCAGCAGGAUCAGCAAACAAAGACCAGCCUAAAUAAUGCAUACAAGGGCACCGCCAGACUGGGGACUCCCGCCAAAAGAAAGAUGACUGCGUUGAUCCAUGAAGGGUACGGUACUGACGCCAGAGCCGGGAAAUUCUCCUGUAAACCACAAAACAGGAGCCUAUUUUACUUACCAAUACCGGUCAGAUAAGGACUGAUGGCCCUCCACACUCCCACGCUGCCUUUCCUGAGACGCUGGCCGAUGGCAAACUCCAGCAGCAGGAGAGGCAUUCCUUCCAGCACCAGCAAGAUCAGCAUUUCUUCUGGAUGAAUUUGAAGAGGGCAAACGCUGGGAUGCUUAAACUGGGAACUCCAGCCAGGAUGAAGAUGAUGACGUAGAUCCAGGUAUGGAUUGAUUGACCUCCACACUCCCAUGCUGCCCUUCCUCAGGCGCUGACCGAUGGCAAACUCCAGGUGCAGCAGAGGGAUUCCCUCCAGGACCAGCAGGAUGAGGAACGGGAUCAUAAAUGCUCCUAG